rnacentral:rRNA from 1 species
AUACGGAGGGCGCAAGCGUUGUUCGGAAUCAUUGGGCGUAAAGCGCGUGUAGGCGGCUUGGUAAGUCGGGUGUGAAAGCCCGGGGCUCAACCCCGGAAAUGCAUUCGAAACUGCCUCGCUAGAGUCCCGGAGAGGAGGGCGGAAUUCCCGGUGUAGAGGUGAAAUUCGUAGAUAUCGGGAGGAACACCAGUGGCGAAGGCGGCCCUCUGGCUCGGUACUGACGCUGAGGUGCGAAAGCGUGGGGAGCAAACAGGAUUAGAUACCCCAGUAGUCC